rnacentral:rRNA from 1 species
CCAGACUCCUACGGGAGGCAGCAGUGAGGAAUAUUGGUCAAUGGCCGAGAGGCUGAACCAGCCAAGUCGCGUGAGGGAUGACGGCCCUACGGGUUGUAAACCUCUUUUGUCGGGGAGCAAAGAGAGUCACGUGUGGCUCAUUGAGAGUACCCGAAGAAAAAGCAUCGGCUAACUCCGUGCCAGCAGCCGCGGUAAUACGGAGGAUGCGAGCGUUAUCCGGAUUUAUUGGGUUUAAAGGGUGCGCAGGCGGAGGUGCAAGUCAGUGGUCAAAUUGCGGGGCUCAACCCCGUACUGCCGUUGAAACUGCAUCCCUUGAGUGCGCGAGAAGUAUGCGGAAUGCGUGGUGUAGCGGUGAAAUGCAUAGAGAUCAUACAGAACACCGAUUGCGAAGGCAGCUUACCAAACUAUAUCUGACGUUGAGGCACGAAAGCGUGGGUAGCAAACAGGAUUAGAUACCCCCGUAA